GGAGAGGUCGCAUAGUUGGCCUAGUGCGGUUGCUUGGAGAGCAACUAUAUGCGCAAGCGUAUCGUGGGUUCGAAUCCCACCCUCUCCGCCA
rnacentral:tRNA from 1 species